rnacentral:rRNA from 1 species
CAUUAGUAUGAUAAUUAUCUAUACUAUUGAUGAUCAGUUUCCUAGUGGAGAGGCGCUGCUUUCUAAUCGUCUUUGAGACAACUUGACAACUUUGACCUCAAAUCAGGUAGGACUACCCGCUGAACUUAAGCAUAUCAAUAAGCGGAGGAAAAGAAACUAACAGGGAUUACCUUAGUAACGGCGAGUGAAGCGGUAAUAGCUCAAAUUUGAAAUCUGACCUUAUGGGUCCGAGUUGUAAUUUGUAGAGGAUGUUUCGGGUACUGCUCUGGUUUAAAUUUCUUGGAACAGAAUGUCAAAGAGGGUGAGAAUCCCGUCUUGAACCGGUAGUAAGACCUAUGUGAAACUCCUUCGACGAGUCGAGUUGUUUGGGAAUGCAGCUCUAAAUGGGUGGUAAAUUUCAUCUAAAGCUAAAUAUUGGCCAGAGACCGAUAGCGCACAAGUAGAGUGAUCGAAAGAUGAAAAGCACUUUGAAAAGAGAGUUAAACAGUAUGUGAAAUUGUUGAAAGGGAAGCGCUGGCAACCAGACUUGAGCUUGAUAGUUCCCCCUUCAUUUUUGUUGGGUUAUUCUAUCAUGUCCAGGCUAACAUCGGUUCGAAUGGUUAGUUAAAGAUUUUAGGAAUGUAUCUUCCUUACGGGGUCGACUUAUAGCCUAAAAUGUCAUAUAACCUAUUUGGACCGAGGAACGCGCUUCGGCUCGGAUGUUGGCGUAAUGGUUGUCAGCGACCCGUCUUGAAACACGGACC